UCCUUCUUAGCUCAGUUGGUAGAGCGCGUCACUAGUAUAUGUAAAUUUCUGGUGGUUAAUUGAAUACUAUGACGAGGUCAGUCGUUCGAGUCGGCUAGAAGGAA